rnacentral:rRNA from 1 species
UACGGGGGGGGUAAGCGUUGUUCGGAAUUACUGGGCGUAAAGCGCUUGUAGGCGGCCUGUCAAGUCGCGUGUGAAAUCCCCUGGCUCAACCAGGGAAGUGCGCGCGAAACUGGCGGGCUUGAGUGCCGGAGAGGGUCGCGGAAUUCCCGGUGUAGAGGUGAAAUUCGUAGAUAUCGGGAGGAACACCAGUGGCGAAGGCGGCGACCUGGACGGACACUGACGCUGAGACGCGAAAGCGUGGGGAGCAAACAGG